rnacentral:rRNA from 1 species
UAUUGGACAAUGGAGGGAACCCUGAUCCAGCGACGCCGCGUGAGUGAAGAAGUAUCUCGGUAUGUAAAGCUCUACCAGCAGGGAAGAAGAAAUGACGGUACCUGAGUAAGAAGCCCCGGCUAACUACGUGCCAGCAGCCGCGGUAAAACGUAGGGGGGAAGCGUUAUCCGGAAUUACUGGGUGUAAAGGGAGCGUAGACGGGGAUGGAAGUCUGGAGUGAAAGGCGGGGGCCCAACCCCCGGACUGCUCUGGAAACUAUGUGACUGGAGUGCAGGAGAGGUGAGCGGAAUUCCUAGUGUAGCGGUGAAAUGCGUAGAUAUUAGGAGGAACACCAGUGGCGAAGGCGGCUUACUGGACUGUAACUGACGUUGAGGCUCGAAAGCGUGGGGAGCAAACAGG